rnacentral:rRNA from 1 species
GAUGAACGCUGGCGGCGUGCCUAAUACAUGCAAGUCGAGCGAACGGACGAGAAGCUUGCUUCUCUGUUGUUAGCGGCGGACGGGUGAGUAACACGUGGAUAACCUACCUAUAAGACUGGGAUAACUUCGGGAAACCGGAGCUAAUACCGGAUAAUAUUUUGAACCGCAUGGUUCAAUAGUGAAAGACGGUCUUGCUGUCACUUAUAGAUGGAUCCGCGCUGCAUUAGCUAGUUGGUAAGGUAACGGCUUACCAAGGCAACGAUGCAUAGCCGACCUGAGAGGGUGAUCGGCCACACUGGAACUGAGACACGGUCCAGACUCCUACGGGAGGCAGCAGUAGGGAAUCUUCCGCAAUGGGCGAAAGCCUGACGGAGCAACGCCGCGUGAGUGAUGAAGGUCUUCGGAUCGUAAAACUCUGUUAUUAGGGAAGAACAUAUGUGUAAGUAACUGUGCACAUCUUGACGGUACCUAAUCAGAAAGCCACGGCUAACUACGUG